rnacentral:rRNA from 1 species
GAUGAACGCUGGCGGCGUGCCUAAUACAUGCCAGUCGAACGCUGAAGGAAGGAGCUUGCUCUUUCCGGAUGAGUUGCGAACGGGUGAGUAACGCGUAGGUAACCUGCCUGGUAGCGGGGGAUAACUAUGUGAAACGAUAGCUAAUACCGCAUAACAGUAGAUGUUGCAUGAUAUCUACUUAAAAGGUGCAAUUGCACCACUACCAGAUGGACCUGCGUUGUAUUAGCUAGUUGGUGAGGUAACGGCUCACCCAGGCGACGAUACAUAGCCGGCCUGGGAGGGUGGUUGGCCACACUGGGAAUUGGACAAGGGCCAGAAUCCUACGGGGAGGAGCAGGAGGGGAUCUUCGGCAAAUGGCGGAAGGCUGAACGAAGAAAGCCGGGGGAGUGGAGAAGGGUCUCCGGUUGUUAAGCCCCGUUGGUAGGGAAGGAAGAGUGUGAGGGUAGAAAGUUCACGUUGUGACGGUACCUAAAGAGAAAGCGACGGCUAACUACGUG